CGAGCCUGACGCAGCCAUGCCGCGUGAAUGAUGAAGGUCUUAGGAUUGUAAAAUUCUUUCACCGGGGACGAUAAUGACGGUACCCGGAGAAGAAGCCCCGGCUAACUUCGUGCCAGCAGCCGCGGUAAUACGAAGGGGGCUAGCGUUGCUCGGAAUUACUGGGCGUAAAGGGAGCGUAGGCGGACAUUUAAGUCAGGGGUGAAAUCCCGGGGCUCAACCUCGGAAUUGCCUUUGAUACUGGGUGUCUUGAGUGUGAGAGAGGUAUGUGGAACUCCGAGUGUAGAGGUGAAAUUCGUAGAUAUUCGGAAGAACACCAGUGGCGAAGGCGACAUACUGGCUCAUUACUGACGCUGAGGCUCGAAAGCGUGGGGAGCAAACAGGAUUAGAUACCCUGGUAGUCCACGCCGUAAACGAUGAUUGCUAGUUGUCGGGAUGCAUGCAUUUCGGUGACGCAGCUAACGCAUUAAGCAAUCCGCCUGGGGAGUACGGUCGCAAGAUUAAAACUCA
rnacentral:rRNA from 1 species